GGGAGGGCAUGACAGCGGGAAAGCUAAGGAUGGGGAGAGUGUGGAGGGCUGUGGCCCGGACGGUGAAGGUCAGGUGAAAAAGGUCAAAGGCUGGGCGAUCAGCCCGCGGAGGAAGCAGGAAGAGGAGCCGCUGCCGGGGCCAGCGGUCUGGGGCCUCAGUGCUCUGCCUGGGCCCCGUCCAGGCCCCUGGGGUGUGGGAGACACGGAGGCCAGGGCGCAGGAGCAGGCGGAGGAGCCGGAUCUCCAGUCCGCCCAGGCUGCUGCAAAUGCUCGGAGAGGCCGGAGCAGAGCUGUGCCUGACGGUCAGGAAACUGGUUAUGUGUGCUGGUGCUCAGAUAGACCAGCGGAAGCCAUGCACAAAAUCAUCCUGAAGGCCAGUGACCUGAGGCCACGAGUCGCCUGGAGACCGGAAGUCAGGAGGCCGGCCAGGCAGUGCUGCUGGAACCGAAGGGAAUAUUAGACGGAUUUUUGGCGCCCACGCGACCGUUAACGGAAAUGGGACAUCAAAACAGCCAGGCAAAGACACUGAUGAAAGAGGUCUUCCGGAACUGCUUCAGACAAUGGAAGAGCGAUGGGCUACACUUGCAGUCCUCCACGCGUUGACACAAGCGAUCAUUUUCUUGGCAUCGGUACUGUUUCAGUGAAUUUCCACCAGGAUAUUUUUACGGUAUCUGAAGGAAAAAUGACGGUUCAACCUUGGGAAGAAAAGUCGGCUGAUAAUUUCACAGCAGGAGGCUGGAGGAGGAGCCUCUCUAAGACAGCAGAACAGUGGCUGUGGAUCUGCUGGUUCUGAUUCGAAAAAGCCCCUUCCAGAUGUGGACCCUUGACUUCCCAGCCUCCAGAAAUACAAGAGAUAAAUCUGUUCUUUAUAAACUAUACAGUCUGUGGCAUUCUGUUAGAGCUUCACAAAACAGACUGGUGCACGCUCACCUAUCCGCCUGGUUGUUGAGAAGCCGCUGCGGUAUCUUCAGCCAACCUCGGAGGUACCAUUGUCCAUGAAGUAUGCCUGAGUUGGUGGCCAAAGUAGGACUCGUGUAUCACCACCCUCAGCAACGAUACACUGUAAACUUCUGACGUAAAUCACUCACAAUCUGGUGGUAGCAGGAACACCAAAGGUUUUGUUCUUUGGAGAAUCCAAAGGAAUCAUCAGCCUCGGAGGGAACAUUCUAGACGGGACUGGAAGGGUCCUUGCAAGCACUUAAGUAACAUUUCAGUACUCUGAGAGACAGGCCUGCGAAAAUGACACAGUGGAAUUGCGUGGAAUGGAAGUAGUUCUGCUCCUAACAUGUGUGGGGCCCACAUACCAUAUGUCUGAAUAUUCACCAGUUAGGAACGGAGCUGACAAUCUUUUGAAUAACAUGUUUGCGCACAUUCCUUCCACCCUGCCAGAGGGGCCUGAGGGGCACCUGGGAGGCCUCGGGUCUGUGGUGUUCUGGGGAGCAGGUGACAGGGUAACAGGCCCUCCUGCAUUCCGGCGCCAUCUUCCAGCUGCAAAUUUCUGGUGUGAGUGUGUACACACAGGCAGUGAAUUCCAGGCUUAAUUUUUUGAAUGUUGUAUGAAGCCUUGAGCCAUUAGCUCUGGGUUAAAAAAAAUGCGCUUGCUUUUUGGCACAACUGGUUAAACCAGGUAGUUUGCCAUCAGAGAGAGAGCUGUCCAGCUUCCGGUCUCAUCAUGGGAUCAAGAAGGGAAAUAUAUUUGGAAAGCAAAAUAGAUUUCAUUCAGAAAUAAUUGAAUUCCCUUCUUGAAUGAUCGAUACAAACUGACCAAAGGAUAUUUGGUUAGAAAAACAGUGCUUGAGAUAUAUAAACCUUCAGCGAUAUUUCUUUUUAAAGUUAAUACCAAGAAGAGAUCUAAAUAGCCCUGCUACAUUCAAUGCCGACCCAUCAAAAACAUGAAUUUUGGAGUCGCAUUUGCCUAAGAAUUUGUGAGAAAUACUCAUUCCAGG